CAGUGGGGAAUAUUGCACAAUGGGCGCUAAGCCUGAUGCAGCCAUGCCGCGUGUAUGAAGUAAGGCCUUCGGGUUGUAAAGUACUUUCAGCAGUGAGGAAGGUGGGUAUGUUAAUAGCAUACUCAUUUGACGUUAGCUGCAGAAGAAGCACCGGCUAACUCCGUGCCAGCAGCCGCGGUAAUACGGAGGGUGCGAGCGUUAAUCGGAAUUACUGGGCGUAAAGCGCAUGCAGGUGGUUUGUUAAGUCAGAUGUGAAAGCCCGGGGCUCAACCUCGGAAUUGCAUUUGAAACUGGCAAACUAGAGUACUGUAGAGGGGGUAGAAUUUCAGGUGUAGCGGUGAAAUGCGUAGAGAUCUGAAGGAAUACCGGUGGCGAAGGCGGCCCCCUGGACAGAUACUGACACUCAGAUGCGAAAGCGUGGGGAGCAAACAGGAUUAGAUACCCUGGUAG
rnacentral:rRNA from 1 species